rnacentral:rRNA from 1 species
UACGUAGGGGGCUAGCGUUGUCCGGAUUUAUUGGGCGUAAAGAGCGUGUAGGCGGCCAGGUAGGUCUGCUGUGAAAACUCGAGGCUCAACCUCGAGACGUCGGCGGAAACCAUCUGGCUAGAGUCCGGAAGAGGAGAGUGGAAUUCCUGGUGUAGCGGUGAAAUGCGUAGAUAUCAGGAGGAACACCGGUGGCGAAGGCGGCUAUCUGGACAGAGUCUGACGCUGAGGCGCGAAAGCUAGGGGAGCAAACAGG